rnacentral:antisense_RNA from 1 species
CUUCAGGGACCCGAGCCACAGCGGUUCAGCGCGGUCCUGGCCGUAGGUGGCGAGCACGGCCUGGGCCUC